rnacentral:ncRNA from 1 species
AGGAGCCGGAUGUUUGGAAACUUACUUGUCCGGUUCUGUGGGGGGCUAAUUUCGAAUAUGAAAUCUAAUUAAUUAUUUUUCUAAACCGAUUUAAUCUAUCCUAAU